UACGGGGGGGGCAAGCGUUGUUCGGAAUUACUGGGCGUAAAGGGCUCGUAGGCGGCCAACUAAGUCAUACGUGAAAUCCCUCGGCUUAACCGGGGAAUUGCAUUCGAUACUGGAUAGCUAGAGUUCGGCAGAGGGAAGCGGAAUUUCCGGUGUAGCGGUGAAAUGCGUAGAUAUCGGAAGGAACAUCAGUGGCGAAAGCGGCUUCCUGGACCAGAACUGACGAUCAGGCUCGAAAGCGUGGGGAGCAAACAGG
rnacentral:rRNA from 1 species